rnacentral:piRNA from 1 species
UACUUUCAAAGGUCCCAUUACAGCUUCUC